rnacentral:rRNA from 1 species
ACGAACGCUGGCGGCGUGCUUCACACAUGCAAGUCGAACGGAAAGGCCCUGCUUUUGUGGGGUGCUCGAGUGGCGAACGGGUGAGUAACACGUGAGUAACCUGCCCUUGACUUUGGGAUAACUUCAGGAAACUGGGGCUAAUACCGGAUAGGAGCUCCUGCUGCAUGGUGGGGGUUGGAAAGUUUCGGCGGUUGGGGAUGGACUCGCGGCUUAUCAGCUUGUUGGUGGGGUAGUGGCUUACCAAGGCCUUGACGGGUAGCCGGCCUGAGAGGGUGACCGGCCACAUUGGGACUGAGAUACGGCCCAGACUCCUACGGGAGGCAGCAGUGGGGAAUAUUGCACAAUGGGCGGAAGCCUGAUGCAGCAACGCCGCGUGCGGGAUGACGGCCUUCGGGUUGUAAACCGCUUUCGCCUGUGACGAAGCGUGAGUGACGGUAAUGGGUAAAGAAGCACCGGCUAACUACGUG